CUUGAAGCGUCUAUCUGUAUUAACCCCUUGAGUGUCAGAGGGGUAAACAAUGCAUCACUGAGUAUUGCUGACACCUCUGGCAUUAAUGGUGUUAUUAAACUGCAUUCAAUCAACAC
rnacentral:precursor_RNA from 14 species